CUUGCACAACAAAGAGAAACUGGGCUUCGAAGUGAGAUUAGUGUGCAUACCGAUACUGAAGACAGGAGUCUCACUGGCUAAAGGAGUGUUAAUGAGAGGAGAGUCAGGUUCAUGAAGCUGCUGCUCCAGAGCUCAGUGAAGUCUUGGCAGCAGUGUUUGGCAUCAGAAUGACCAAGACAUUGAUAAAGGUACAACUAGGGGCAAAGAAGAAAUAUGUGAAAUUAGAGGAUGUUUGCUUCUCUGAUUUCGUUAGUGCUGUCCAGGAGAAGUUUCUCAUACCAGAGGACACAAUACUGAAAGUCACAGAUGACCACAGUGUAGAAGUGGAUGACGAUGUCUUUCCAGAACUUGCAGCCAGAGAAAUCUGUUUUGUCAUCUAUACUGAUGAUGAACUUCCACUAGCUGAAUCCUCCUCAAACUCUGCUGACUGCUCAGACAAGACAGAAUAUGUGACUCUUGAUCUAUCUGAUGUGCA